rnacentral:rRNA from 1 species
GGGGGAUUUUUUCGGAACCUCUCANUAUUGGAGCGGCCGAUAUCGGAUUAGCUAGUUGGUGGGGUAAAGGCUCACCAAGGCAACGAUCCGUAGCUGGUUUGAGAGGACGACCAGCCACACUGGGACUGAGACACGGCCCAGACUCCUACGGGAGGCAGCAGUGGGGAAUUUUGGACAAUGGGGGAAACCCUGAUCCAGCCAUCCCGCGUGUAUGAUGAAGGCCUUCGGGUUGUAAAGUACUUUUGGCAGAGAAGAAAAGGUAUCUCCUAAUACGAGAUACUGCUGACGGUAUCUGCAGAAUAAGCACCGGCUAACUACGUGCCAGCAGCCGCGGUAAUACGUAGGGUGCAAGCGUUAAUCGGAAUUACUGGGCGUAAAGCGUGUGUAGGCGGUUCGGAAAGAAAGAUGUGAAAUCCCAGGGCUCAACCUUGGAACUGCAUUUUUAACUGCCGAGCUANAGUAUGUCAGAGGGGGGUAGAAUUCCACGUGUANCAGUGAAAUGCGUANAUAUGUGGAGGAAUACCGAUGGCGAAGGCAGCCCCCUGGGAUAAUACUGACGCUCACACACGAAAGCGUGGGGAGCAAACAGGAUUANAUACCCUGGUAGUCCNCNCCCUAAACNAUGUCNACUANCUGUUGGGGCCGUUAGGCCUNANUAAC